UUCGGCUUCGUGCCCGCGCGCUACGACGCCUCGGUGCUGGCCGGGCAGUUUCCCGGUGGUGUCGGCGCCGAGAUCUGGACAUUCCUGACCUACGCCUUCCUGCAUGCGGACAUCACCCACAUCGCAUUCAAUAUGUUGUGGAUGCUCCCGUUCGGCAGUGCGGUCGCGCGCCGGUUCGGCACGGUGCGGUUCUUUGCAUUCUUCGCCGUGACCGCGAUUGCCGGCG
rnacentral:misc_RNA from 1 species